ACCGACGAGGGCGACUAUCAGGUCAAGCUGAAGAACCUGAUUCGUUUCCUCGAAGGUGGCGACAAGGGCAAGGUCACGCUACGGUUUCGUGGCCGCGAGAUGGCGCACCAGGACAUCGGCCGCAAGCUGAUGGAGCGGGUCGCCGCAGAUCUCGAGGAUCUGGCCAAUGUGGAGUCCUUCCCCAAGAUGGAAGGGCGCCAGAUGAUCAUGAUUCUUGCCCCCAAGAAGAAGUGAUCCGAAGGCAAGUAAACGGGUGGUUCGUCGCUGAGGCGGACUGCCGGCCUUGGGUUUUCUGAAAAAACAUCGAGCGGAGUUUUCCUCAUGCCGA
rnacentral:misc_RNA from 1 species